CCUACGGGAGGCAGCAGUGGGGAAUAUUGCACAAUGGAGGGAACUCUGAUCCAGCGACGCCGCGUGAGUGAAGAAGUAAUUCGUUAUGUAAAGCUCUAUCAGUAGGGAAGCAAGUGACGCUACCUGAAAAAGAAGCUCCGGCUAAAUACGUGCCAGCAGCCGCGGUAAUACGUAUGGAGCAAGCGUUAUCCGGAUGUACUGGGUGUAAAGGGGGACUAGGUGGCAGAGCAAGGCCGAAGUGAAAACCCAAAGCUCAACUAUGGGAAUGCUUUAGAAACUGCCCAGCUAGAGUGCAGGAGAGGUAAGUGGAAUGCGUGGUGUAGCGGUGAAAUGCGUAGAUAUUAGGAGGAACACCGGUGGCGAAGGCAGCUUGCUGGACUGUAACUGACGCUGAGGCUCGAAAGCGUGGGGAGCAAACAGGAUUAGAUACCCGAGUAGUC
rnacentral:rRNA from 1 species